AGAAGGAAAGCACCUCCCUCAUCGGCCAGAUUAGAUGCCGAUCCGAAUCAAGCCCAAAACAAAUGAACAAUAAUAAUAACAACGACAACAACAACAACAACAAUAACAAUAAUAAUGUGGAGGACAACUGAUGCUGUGACCCCCAUAUUUUCAAAUUUCAAAGGAUAUUCUUAACCGAUAGAAGCCCCUUCCUGCCCUACCCCUAUCCUCCCCCAC
rnacentral:lncRNA from 1 species